UGGGGAAUAUUGGGCAAUGGAGGAAACUCUGACCCAGCAACGCCGCGUGAAGGAUGAAGGUUUUCGGAUUGUAAACUUCUGUCGCGAGGGAUGAAGAAUGACGGUACCUCGUAAGAAAGCCCCGGCAAACUACGUGCCAGCAGCCGCGGUAAUACGUAGGGGGCAAGCGUUGUCCGGAAUGACUGGGCGUAAAGGGAGUGUAGGCGGCCUUUUAAGUUAUAUGUGAAAGCCCACGGCUCAACCGUGGAACUGCAUAUAAAACUGGAGGGCUUGAGUGCAGGAGAGGUAAGUGGAAUUCCGAGUGUAGAGGUGAAAUUCGUAGAUAUUCGGAAGAACACCAGUGGCGAAGGCGGCUCACUGGACUGGUAUUGACGCUGAGGUGCGAAAGCGUGGGGAGCAAACA
rnacentral:rRNA from 1 species